GGGAAUAUUGCACAAUGGGCGAAAGCCUGAUGCAGCAACGCCGCGUGAGUGAUGAAGGCCUUCGGGUUGUAAAGCUCUGUCUUCUGGGACGAUAAUGACGGUACCAGAGGAGGAAGCCACGGCUAACUACGUGCCAGCAGCCGCGGUAAUACGUAGGUGGCAAGCGUUGUCCGGAUUUACUGGGCGUAAAGGAUGCGUAGGCGGAUACUUAAGUCAGAUGUGAAAAUCCCGGGCUUAACUUGGGAACUGCAUUUGAAACUGGGUAUUUAGAGUGCGGGAGAGGAAAGUGGAAUUCCUAGUGUAGCGGUGAAAUGCGUAGAGAUUAGGAAGAACACCAGUGGCGAAGGCGACUUUCUGGACCGUAACUGACGCUGAGGCAUGAAAGCGUGGGGAGCAAACA
rnacentral:rRNA from 1 species